UAACGGCGAGUGAAGCGGCAACAGCUCAAAUUUGAAAUCUGGCCCCCAGGGCCCGAGUUGUAAUUUGCAGAGGAUGCUUUUGGCGAGGUGCCUUCCGAGUUCCCUGGAACGGGACGCCAUAGAGGGUGAGAGCCCCGUCUGGUUGGAUGCCGAGCCUCUGUAAAGCUCCUUCGACGAGUCGAGUAGUUUGGGAAUGCUGCUCUAAAUGGGAGGUAUAUGUCUUCUAAAGCUAAAUAUUGGCCAGAGACCGAUAGCGCACAAGUAGAGUGAUCGAAAGAUGAAAAGCACUUUGAAAAGAGGGUUAAAAAGUACGUGAAAUUGUUGAAAGGGAAGCGCUCAUGACCAGACUUGGGCCCGGUGAAUCAACCAGCGUUCUCGCUGGUGCACUUUGCCGGGCUCAGGCCAGCAUCAGUUUGCUCCGGGGGAUAAAGGCUCUGGGAAUGUGGCUCCUCCGGGAGUGUUAUAGCCCACUGCGCAAUACCCUGGGGCGGACUGAGGACCGCGCAUCUUGCAAGGAUGCUGGCGUAAUGGUCAUCAGCGACCCGUCUUGAAACACGGACCAAGGAGUCGUCUUCGUAUGCGAGUGUUCGGGUGUCAAACCCCUACGCGUAAUGAAAGUGAACGCAGGUGAGAGCUUCGGCGCAUCAUCGACCGAUCCUGAUGUUCUCGGAUGGAUUUGAGUAAGAGCAUACGGGGCCGGACCCGAAAGAAGGUGAACUAUGCCUGUAUAGGGUGAAGCCAGAGGAAACUCUGGUGGAGGCUCGCAGCGGUUCUGACGUGCAAAUCGAUCGUCAAAUAUGGGCAUGGGGGCGAAAGACUAAUCGAACC
rnacentral:rRNA from 1 species